UACGUAGGUGGCAAGCGUUGUCCGGAAUUAUUGGGCGUAAAGCGCUCGCAGGCGGUCUUUUAAGUCUGAUGUGAAAGCCCACGGCUCAACCGUGGAGGGUCAUUGGAAACUGGAGGACUUGAGUACAGAAGAGGAAGAGUGGAAUUCCACGUGUAGCGGUGAAAUGCGUAGAGAAUGUGGAGGAACACCGGUGGCGAAGGCGGCCUUCUGGACGAGUGACUGACGCUGAGACGCGAAAGCGUGGGGAGCAAACAGG
rnacentral:rRNA from 1 species